rnacentral:rRNA from 1 species
UCGGAAAGGGCAUUGGAAACUGGUUAAACUUGAGUGUUGUAGAGGGUAAGUGGAACUCCAUGUGUAGCGGUGGAAUGCGUAGAUAUAUGGAAGAACACCAGUGGCGAAGGCGGCUUACUGGGACAACAACUGACGUUGAGGGCUCGAAAGUGUGGGUAGCAAAACAGGGAUUAGAUAACCCUGGUAGUCCCACACCGUAAACGAUGAAAUACUAGGUGUUAGGAGGGUUUCCGCCUCUUAGUGCCGAAGCUAACGCAUUAAGUAUUCCGCCUGGGGAGUACGACCGCAAGGUUGAAACUCAAAAGGAAUUGACGGGGACCCGCACAAAGCGGUGGAGCAUGUGGUUUAAUUCGAAGCAACGCGAAGAACCUUACCAGGUCUUGACAUCCUUUGAAGCUUCUAGAGAUAGAAGUGUUCUCUUCGGAGACAAAGUGACAGGUGGUGCAUGGUCGUCGUCAGCUCGUGUCGUGAGAUGUUGGGUUAAGUCCCGCAACGAGCGCAACCCUUAUUGUUAGUUGCCAGCAUUCAGUUGGGCACUCUAGCGAGACUGCCGGUGACAAACCGGAGGAAGGCGGGGACGACGUCAGAUCAUCAUGCCCCUUAUGACCUGGGCUACACACGUGCUACAAUGGCGUAUACAACGAGUUGCCAACCCGCGAGGGUGAGCUAAUCUCUUAAAGUACGUCUCAGUUCGGACUGCAGUCUGCAACUCGACUGCACGAAGUCGGAAUCGCUAG